rnacentral:rRNA from 1 species
ACUAGAUACUCUAUUCUGUACUUAAUUAGUAUAGGGAAUAAUCAACCCUAGACCGAGUGGAACUUUGGUUGAAUAAUGCCUUUUUUAAUACCAGAGUGUAAAAACUUAGAAGUGUUAAAUUGGGAUCACAUUAUUUUAUUGAAGUGGGGUUCCAGUUCAUUUACUUUGAGUAAAUUAGAGUGUUCAAAGCAGCCUGUAUGGGCAUUGAAUAGAUUAGCAUGGGAUAAUAGAAUAGGAUUCUUAUCUAUUUAUUGGUUUAUAGACUUAGAAUAAUGAUUAAUAGGGAUAGUUGGGGGCACUUGUAUUCAAUAGUCAGAGGUGAAAUUCUAGGAUUUAUUGAAGACAAACUUCAGCGAAAGCAUUUGCCAAGGAUGUUUUCAUUAAUCAAGAACGAAAGUUAGGGGAUCGAAGACGAUUAGACACCGUCGUAGUCUUAACUAUAAACUAUGCCGACCAGGGAUAUGAGAGUUUUUUAUUUAUGCUAUGAAUAAUAGCAUAAUCUCUUGUGGACCUUGUGAGAAAAUCAUAAGUUUUUUGGGGUUCUGGGGGGGA